CUGCACUGGCAAGUGACCCAUUGGGCUUCCCCCUGACCAACUGGGCAUCAAGCAGUGCUAAAGCAAAUCCCUCCAAAAACUAGGAGAGUCACACUGUGGGCUCCUCCUGCAUGCAGGUGGGUACAGAG
ensembl:snoRNA Snora35 small nucleolar RNA, H/ACA box 35